UUAUACUUAUAAAAAUAAAUAUCGUCAUUUUAGAGAACACAAAUACAAAGGUUGGUUGCCCCUCCACUUACCUCUAAUACAAAUAUUAAGAGAAAAGAUUGCUUACUGAAAACAUUAACAUAAUUUAGCUUAAGAGAUCUGCAGCGUGCAUAAGUGGGUAUAAGAAUAGGCUUGAUUUGACAGAUUUGUGUAAAUUGUGUAGAUUUGUAAUAAUGUGUAUUUAGAACAUCACUAUAACUUACAUGAUGGACAAUUUAAAAUAAUAUAUAUAAGAUGAUGAACCAGAAUAUAUUUACUUCUGCUAUACCCCCAAUAUCAAAUGAACUCAAGGACAUUCAUGGAGAAGUAAUGAAACUACCAACAUCAGGGAAUCAGCCAUAGGAACAUAAUUCUGCAUUUGGAUGCAAGUGCACACAACACAUUAACUUAAAAUGGGAGCCACACAGUGCACAUUCCAGGAAAAAAUCUGGAUCCAAGUACCCAGCAUCACUAAGUUUAGCAUCAAGCCCAAUAGAAUCAAUUUUAUAUAUAAAGUAGCAUUUACAGACAAAGGCUACUCAGUGUUUCUUCACUUAAAAGUACUUCCACUCUAAGUUUCACAAUUCAAAUGAAACACCCCAUACAAACUAUAUUGCUCCAAGACUGAACCUAUCUGCCAACUUGGGUAUUAAGUUUAGUAAAGAUUUGUCUGCACUUGAGCACCUGAGGAAUCUUCUAGGAAUUUACAAUGCAUCUCAAAUCAGUACAGUGCACUUCUGCUGUACUGAAAUGGGUCACUCACUCCACUCUUGGACAAUGGACAUAUAAGUUGUAUUUUGAAGUUCUAAACCCCAUCCUAUUUCUAAAAUUCAUAAGUUUAUGACAAGAGUCAAGUAAAACCAGAUCCAAAAAGGAAACUGAUUCAGUAUUAGGUAGAGGUCCAUCUAAAAGCUUUCCUUCACAAAAUAUUAAUAAAUUGAAGGAGGAAUCAUAUUUUCUACAUAAUUUUGAAUAAAUACUCACAUGCUCUAAGGAUUUAAAACACCACCACCCCAAAAACAAUCUGGUCCCUAACAGGUUUUCGUAUCUUCACAACCAACUAGUCAGCAAUAUCUAGUUUAGUCUGAGCUUAUCUAGCUUGUACUCUUUGAUAAAGAAGUUUAAAUCCUUACCAGAAGUAAGAUACAACAAACUUCAAAGGCUUGCAUUUCUAGUGGCUAGACUGGUAUAUUUUAUGUGAUCUGUCCAGACAAACCUUAUUUUGACAUAGUGGUUUUUUUUAAGCCUAACAAAAUGAAAAUCUUUCAUAUCUAAGUAUUUCCUCAAAGCACAUUGUAUAGACUGCUCACUCAUCUUUCAAAAUGGUUGAUUUCCUAGUUUAGUUAUGUUUCUGAGGAAGUGAUAUGAGUACAAAUAAAAUUAAAUCAACUUUUUAAAAACACACUCCAUUUCUGCAAUGCCAUUCAGUUACUCAGUGUUUACAUAAUUAAAGUGAUGUUUAAAUACAAUAAGCGGAAUAUUAACCAUUAUCCCCUUCUCCUUUCAAGUGAGCAGUUAAGUAUAAGAACUGUAACUAAGUUUAAUCACUUAUUUUUAAAAAUUUCAUAAGUCUGUGUGCGUGAAGCAUUGUUAACCUAUGUAGCGUUUGUCAUACAGAAAGUCAACAUUCAUGUUUAUAGAAUCAAUUGGGUUGUUUUUACUUACACACACACACACACACUCUUAAAAAAUAAAUAUUUAUAAAUGCUAAACACUAAGUGCAGAAAACUGGUCAACUGUAUCACUUCAUAUAUAUCAGGAAUCGGCAACCUUUGGCAUGCAGCCCGUCAGGGAAAUUUGCUGGGGGCCUGGGA